rnacentral:tRNA from 1 species
GUUUUAAUAAUUUAAUAAAAAUAAUGAUUUUGUAAAUCAGAAUUAAGGAUUAACCUUUUAAUUCA